AACGUAGGGGGCGAGCGUUAUCCGGAAUUAUUGGGCGUAAAGAGCACGUAGGCGGCACUACAAGUUGGGCGUGAAAGCUCUCGGCUUAACCGGGAGAGGUCGUUCAAAACUGUAGGGCUUGAGGUUGAUAGAGGAGAGUAGAAUUCCCGGUGUAGUGGUGGAAUGCGUAGAUAUCGGGAGGAAUACCAGUGGCGAAAGCGGCUCUCUGGAUCACACCUGACGCUGAGGUGCGAAAGCGUGGGUAGCAAACAGG
rnacentral:rRNA from 1 species